AAGUCGUAACAAGGUUUCCGUAGGUGAACCUGCGGAAGGAUCAUUAACACUUAUUAUUAUCCAAUAUCAAAAAUAAAACCAAACGGCAUCUUUUCUUCUCCCUAUUUCGACUACCGGAGACGGGUCGAUUAGGCUAACCUUUUUUUUUUUAAAUUAUAACCCCAUUUAAUUUAUGUCUCUAUUUAUUUAUAGAUAUAAACAAAACCAACUCUUCUUUUGUUCAAGUGUGGUUUUACAUCACACAAACAACAAUAAGAACUAAACUAAAAUAUACAUUUGAUUAUAUUUUUAUUUUACGAAAUAAUAUAUAUUUAUAAGAACAACUCUUAGCAAUGGAUAUCUUGGUUCUC
rnacentral:misc_RNA from 1 species